rnacentral:rRNA from 1 species
GCGUGCCCAAUACAUGCAAGUCGAGCGAGUUUAUCCUUCGGGGUAAGCUAGCGGCGGACGGGUGAGUAACACGUAGGUAACCUGCCUUCAAGAUCGGGAUAACUAUCGGAAACGAUAGCUAAGACCGGAUAGCUGGUUUUCUCGCAUGAGAGAAUCAUGAAACACGGAGCAAUCUGUGGCUUGAAGAUGGGCCUGCGGCGCAUUAGCUAGUUGGUGAGGUAACGGCUCACCAAGGCGACGAUGCGUAGCCGACCUGAGAGGGUGAACGGCCACACUGGGACUGAGACACGGACCAGACUCCUACGGGAGGCAGCAGUAGGGAAUCUUCCGCAAUGGACGAAAGUCUGAUGGAGCAACGCCGCGUGAGCGAUGAAGGCCUUCGGGUCGUAAAGCUCUGUUGUUAGGGAAGAACAAGUAUCGGAGUAACUGCCGGUACCUUGACGGUACCUAACCAGAAAGCCACGGCUAACUACGUGCCAGCAGCCGCGGUAAUACGUAGGUGGCAAGCGUUGUCCGGAAUUAUUGGGCGUAAAGCGCGCGCAGGCGGUCCUUUAAGUCUGAUGUGAAAGCCCACGGCUCAACCGUGGAGGGUCAUUGGAAACUGGGGGACUUGAGUGCAGAAGAGGAAAGCGGAAUUCCACGUGUAGCGGUGAAAUGCGUAGAGAUGUGGAGGAACACCAGUGGCGAAGGCGGCUUUCUGGUCUGUAACUGACGCUGAGGCGCGAAAGCGUGGGGAGCAAACAGGAUUAGAUACCCUGGUAGUCCACGCCGUAAACGAUGAGUGCUAAGUGUUAGGGGGUUUCCGCCCCUUAGUGUUGCAGCUCACGC